GAUGAACGCUGGCGGCGUGCCUAACACAUGCAAGUCGUACGAGCUCGAUCUUCGGAACGGGUUAGUGGCGCACGGUGAGUAACACGUAGGUGACCUACCCCAGAGUGGGGGAUAACUUCUCGAAAGAGAGGCUAAUACCGCAUACACUCGGUCAUUCAUUUGGCCGAGCAAAGCUCCGGCGCUUUGGGACGGGCCUGCGUCCGAUUAGCUAGUUGGUAGGGUAAUGGCUUACCAAGGCUUUGAUCGGUAGCUGGUCUGAGAGGACGAUCAGCCACACUGGCACUGACACACGGGCCAGACUCCUACGGGAGGCAGCAGUGAGGAAUAUUGGGCAAUGGCGAAAGACCUGACCCAGCAACGCCGCGUGAGGGAUGAAGGCCUC
rnacentral:rRNA from 1 species